rnacentral:lncRNA from 1 species
CCUCUAACCACCAGGCUACCCGCCUCCUCUAACCACCAGGCUACCCGCCUCCUCUAACCACCAGGCUACCCGCCUCCUCUAACCACCAGGCUACCCGCCCCCUCUAACCACCAGGCUACCCGCCCCCUCUAACCACCAGGCUACCCGCCUCCUCUAACCACCAGGCUACCCGCCUCCUCUAACCACCAGGCUACCCGCCUCCUCUAACCACCAGGCUACCCGCCCCCUCUAACCACUUGCUGAUGAGAGUUGUUGGAUGUUGUUAGUUUACACAUAGCGUCAUACCGCCAACUUUUAUUCUGAAGGCAAAAUGCCAGGCGUCUAUGUGUAACAGUACUCUUCUUGCGUUGUCUACAAUCAAUCAUAGACACGAACUCCAACUUGUACCACCAGUCAUGGAGCUUUAUUCUGACAGGAACAGCACGGCUCACCAUCCAACUCUGCACUCAGGCACUGUACAAAAUAUACAACCCCCCCCCCACCAGACACAGGUCAAGUCUUCAGGAGAGUCAGCAGACCCUGCUGAAGGAGAACGUAGACCCAGGCUCCAUCAGGACCAGGGGAGGCAGGCAGAAUGUCCUGCCCCCAGACCCUGCUGAAGGAGAACGUAGACCCAGGCUCCAUCAGGACCAGGGGAGGCAGGCAGAAUGUCCUGCCCUCAGACCCUGCUGGAGGAGAACGUAGACCCAGGCUCCAUCAGGACCAGGGGAGGCAGGCAGAAUGUCCUGCCCUCAGACCCUGCUGGAGGAGAACGUAGACCCAGGCUCCAUCAGGACCAGGGGAGGCAGGCAGAAUGUCCUGCCCCCAGACCCUGCUGGAGGAGAACGUAGACCCAGGCUCCAUCAGGACCAGGGGAGGCAGGCAGAAUGUCCUGCCCUCAGACCCUGCUGGAGGAGAACUCAGACCCAGACUCCAUCAGGACCAGGGGAGGCAGG